ACAAAUUGUCCAUGGAUUACUAACAACCUUAGCGGCGGGUCGAUAGAUGAAAACGAUGCUUUGGAUGAUUUUCGUGACUAUGUCAUUGCUAAUGCUGGAACCACCAUACCUACCUCGGAUCAUUAUAUGUCUUUUACUGGUGGUAAUUUAGCUGGAGCAGGAGGUUUUGCGUAUGUUGGUACAAUAUGCACCACAUCGGCUGUGUCUUUGGUGGAGAACCCAUUCAGUGGAUUUACCUGUGGCAUAGCUGCUCAUGAAUUGGGCCAUUCAUUAAACUGUGAGCAUGAUUCGAAGAAAGCUCCUACAUGUGAUGACAGUUCAAAUAAUAUUAUGUCAACAAUUCUCAACUUUCCUACUAGUAUCUCCGAUGCACCCAAUCCUUGGCGGUUUUCAGCAUGUUCUAUUGCCGACAUCAAAGACAAACUUGCAAGCGUCUCCUGUGCUUUACCUGCAAAUACUCCUACUGCAGCAAAAACUCUACAGACCAAUGGUCAAUAUGCUGGAC